rnacentral:rRNA from 1 species
CAGGUAGGUGGCUUGGUAAGUGAGAGGUGAAAUCCUGCGGUUCAAUCGCAGAACUGCCUUUCAAACUGCCUGGCUUGAGAACGACAGGGGAAGAUGGAAUUCCCGGUGUAAGGGUGAAAUCUGUAGAUAUCGGGAAGAACACCAACAGCGAAGGCAAUCUUCUGGGUCGUUUCUGACACUGAGCUGCGAAAGCUAGGGGAGCAAACAGAAUUAGAUACUCUGGUAGUCCUAGCCGUAAACGAUGAGUACUAGGUGUUGGCACCUUCGGGUGUCGGCGCCGAAGCUAACGCAUUAAGUACUCCACCUGGGGACUACGAUCGCAAGGUUAAA